UUCAUACUUGAUGUCAAUUUGCAAGCCUCAGAACUCAAAAUUCUCUCCCCAAAUCUCAAGUCCCAAAGUCCCGAUUCCCAACCAUGGCGUUCCAUCCUCCAAAGCUACUUCGUCCCUACAUGUUUAUAACCAUUUUCCUCCUUUUCAUAAUCCCUUGUGCAACUCAGCUAUUCUUCAACUACUCGGAUUUCAAUCAAGCUAUCAACCGAACUAUAAGACUUGCUGGAAACGCUACUCUCUCAGGUUCAGCAGCCAUCCAACUCACCCCAAGUGCAGUGGACAACUGGGGUCGAGCCAUAUAUUCACAACUGCUGCAUAUCUGGGAGGAACCCGGAAAACUCGCAGACUUCAAUACCAGCUUCUCAUUUAUCAUUGAUUCGGAAGGUAAAGACAUUCAUUCAGAUGGGAUUGUAUUCUUCCUCACAAGCCCCGGUUUCCCAAUUCCUAGACCAACAGAUGGCGCUGGCAUUGGCCUUCUAAGCCGCAUCCAGUUGAACGACUCGAGUUUCUUAGCUGAAAAUAAAUUCGUUGCAGUGGAGUUUGAUACGUAUUCGAACUCCGAAUGGGACCCGCCCGAGCCUGUCCAAGAACACGUUGGUAUCAAUAUCAACGAUAUGAGAUCUACGAACUAUGCACCAUGGGAUGCUGUUAUUACCGAAAACCGGACAUAUAGUGCAAGUAUUAGUUACCAUUCCUCCACGCAAAAUCUAAGUGUCACCUUCACUGGGUUCGAUAAUGGUGUCACCCCGAUUCAACGGCACCUUUCUUCUAUAGUGAACUUGACAGAUUACCUGCCGGAAUGGGUUGAAUUUGGCUUCUCAGCAUCGACGGGAUUGGUUACCGAGUUGCAUAUUAUUUGUUCUUGGUCUUUUAACUCCACAUCACCUUUUCGGAUACAGACUCCGGCUGUACCAAAGAAGAAUGGAGAUGGAAGCAAGAGAAAAUUGGUGCUGGGCUUGAGCGUGGGUGGAUGCAUUUUAAUCAGUGGUAUGGGGUUGGUUUGGCUUGUGUAUAGAAAGAGGACUAAAAGGGGAGAGGAAGAGGAUUUAAGCUUUAUUCUUUCCAUGGACGAGGAGUUUGAACGAGGUACAGGGCCAAAGAAGUUUUCUUACGAGGAAUUGGUUUCUGCAACGAAUAAUUUUGCAGAGGAAAACAAGCUUGGAGAAGGAGGGUUCGGAGGUGUUUACAAAGGAUUUAUAAACGAGCUGAAUUCCUACGUUGCUGUUAAGAGGGUAUCAAGGGGAUCUAAACAAGGGAUAAAGGAGUAUGCAUCUGAGGUGAAGAGUAUUAGUCAACUCAGGCACAGGAAUUUAGUACAACUCACUGGUUGGUGCCACGAGAAAAAAGAUCUCCUACUAGUUUAUGAGUUCAUGCCCAAUGGCAGCUUAGAUUUGCAUCUUUUCAAAGGUGAAAGCUUGCUAACAUGGGUGAUGAGGUACAAUAUUGCCCAAGGCUUGGCAUUUGCAUUGCUAUACUUGCAUGAAGAAUGGGAACAAUGUGUGUUGCAUAGGGAUAUAAAGUCGAGUAACGUCAUGUUGGAUUCAAGUUUCAACGCAAAGCUUGGGGAUUUCGGCUUGGCUAGGCUGGUGGAUCAUGGAAAAGGAUCCCAAACCACAGUUGUGGCCGGGACCAUGGGCUACAUGGCCCCUGAAUGUUUUAUAUCAGGCAGGGCUAGCAAGGAAUCAGAUAUAUAUAGUUUCGGGAUUGUGCUUUUGGAGAUAGCCUGUGGAAGGAAACCCGUUGAAUCCCAAAGGACGGAAGAUGAAGUGAGUAUGGUAGAGUGGGUUUGGCAGCUUUAUGGAAUGGGAAAGCUUGUUGAUGCAGCCGAUCCCAGAUUGUGUGGGGACUUUGAUGAGCAGCAACUGGAACGGCUGAUGAUAGCUGGCCUUUGGUGUGCUCACCCAGACUACAAUCUCAGGCCUUCAAUUAGGAAAGUCGUUCACGUGCUUAGUUAUGAAGGUUCAUUGCCCGUUCUGGCACCAGAGAUGCCCCUACUAACCUACCUUGCCGCCCCACUUAGUGCAUCUGCAUCCUCAGCAUCCACCGCAGAAAAUAAGCACUCUCAAUCUGCAAGCCAUUCCGGUUCCACCGGCUCCUCACAGGUCACAUCUGCUGCAGCUUCUUCUUCAUCAUCUGCACUUCCUCACACACACUUGGUUAAUACCAGGUGACGGUUUAUAUUCGUUCAGCACUGUUGUGGGAAGAUAUUCUGAAAAGUUAAGAAGUCCAGGUUGAUGAUCCAAAUGAAGCCUAGAGGAAGAGGAUAAUUUCUUUUUUGGAGAUGGAGUAUUCAAUAACCCCCACAAAAAAUAUUCUCUCAACACCAUCACUCUAGUUCCCAUUGACGAGAAAGUAGGAGAACAAGGAAAUGGAAAUGAGCCGAUGAACUAGAACAAAGCAGCGCAACAACCAAAGAAAAAUAUAGCCUCAAGGAAGCAGCAGAAGAAGAGUUCUACAGUAAUCAGAUAUUCACUAUACCAAACUCAAAAUUUGAAGGCUUCGGGCAACAAGGUUCAGUCUCAAAUCAUGAAUUUAUUUCCUACGAAUCCAAAGACUGAUGUGGCAGAGUCUUCACUGCCACCAAAAGAACCAUGAGACUUCUUGCCUGGAAUUGCCAAGGCAUUGCCCGACCUCAUGCAACCAGAUCUCUCAAGGAAAAUAUUAGGGUUCACAACCCUGAUAUUAUUUUCCUUUCAGAAUGUUUAAUAGCUUCUAGUGAGUGUGUACGCACUAUUAAUAUGUUGGGGGUAUGUCUAUUUUGUGUACUCUCCUCCUAUCAGUAAAUGGGGAGGUCUUUUGAUCAUGUUUCGACCUAGUGUCGAUCUUGAUGUUGUACAUAACUCUAGUAAUAUUAUUUCUGUUUUGGUG